rnacentral:rRNA from 1 species
GUAGUUGACUCCGUGGCUACGAGGACGACGCUGGCGGCGUGCUUAACACAUGCAAGUCGAACGGUGAAGCCCAGCUUGCUGGGUGGAUCAGUGGCGAACGGGUGAGUAACACGUGAGCAACCUGCCCUUCACUUCGGGAUAAGCCUUGGAAACGGGGUCUAAUACCGGAUAUGAGCGCUCAUCGCAUGGUGGGUGUUGGAAAGUUUUUCGGUGAGGGAUGGGCUCGCGGCCUAUCAGCUUGUUGGUGGGGUAACGGCCUACCAAGGCGUCGACGGGUAGCCGGCCUGAGAGGGCGACCGGCCACACUGGGACUGAGACACGGCCCAGACUCCUACGGGAGGCAGCAGUGGGGAAUAUUGCACAAUGGGCGAAAGCCUGAUGCAGCGACGCCGCGUGAGGGAUGACGGCCUUCGGGUUGUAAACCUCUUUCAGCAGGGAAGAAGCGCAAGUGACGGUACCUGCAGAAGAAGCGCCGGCUAACUACGUG